AUUGAACGCCGGCGGCAGGCCUAACACAUGCAAGUCGAGCGGAUGACGGGAGCUUGCUCCUUGAUUCAGCGGCGGACGGGUGAGUAAUGCCUAGGAAUCUGCCUGGUAGUGGGGGACGACGUUUCGAAAGGAACGCUAAUACCGCAUACGCCCUACGGGAGACAGCAGGGGACAUUCGGGCCUUGCGCUAUCAGGUGAGCCUAGGUCGGAUUAGCUAGUUGGCGGGGUAAGGGCUCACCAAGGCGACGAUCCGUAACUGGUCUGAGAGGAUGAUCAGUCACACUGGAACUGAGACACGGUCCAGACUCCUACGGGUGGCAGCAGUGGGGAAUAUUGGACAAUGGGCGAAAGCCUGAUCCAGCCAUGCCGCGUGUGUGAAGAAGGUCUUCGGAUUGUAAAGCACUUUAAGUUGGGAGGAAGGGCAGUAAGUUAAUACCUUGCUGUUUUGACGUUACCGACAGAAUAAGCACCGGCUAACUCUGUGCCAGCCGCCGCAGUAA
rnacentral:rRNA from 1 species